GGCGAGGUAGCUCAGUCGGUUAGAGCGCAGGAUUCAUAACCCUGAGGUCGAGAGUUCAAAUCUCUCUCUCGCUACUA
rnacentral:tRNA from 1 species